CUACGGGCGGCACCAGUGGGGAAUAUUGGACAAUGGGGGAAACCCUGAUCCAGCAAUGCCGCGUGUGUGAAGAAGGCCUGCGGGUUGUAAAGCACUUUCGGUUGGGAGGACUGCUUCUAGCACUAAUAUUGUUGGAAGUUGACGUUACCUUCAGAAGAAGCACCGGCUAACUCCGUGCCAGCAGCCGCGGUAAUACGGAUGGUGCAAGCGUUAAUCGGAAUUACUGGGCGUAAAGCGCGCGUAGGCGGCUAGAUCAGUCGGGUGUGAAAGCCCCGGGCUUAACCUGGGAACUGCAUCCGAUACUGUCUAGCUUGAGGACAGGAGAGGAGAGUGGAAUUCCACAUGUAGCGGUGAAAUGCGUAGAUAUGUGGAGGAACACCAAUGGCGAAGGCAGCUCUCUGGCCUGAUACUGACGCUGAGGUGCGAAAGCGUGGGGAGCAAACAGGAUUAGAUACCCCGGUAGUC
rnacentral:rRNA from 1 species